CUUGUUGCGGCGGCGGCUUGCCGAGUCAGCCGGUGUCGUCUUCCACCGUCCUAUCCUCGCCGCAAGCCGCAUACGGCGUUGCCUCCUGAUCUCCCCAGUCGAGUCGGUACACCUGCGGCCGCGUUUCUAGAGGUAACUGAGCCAGCUGCCCAAUCUUUCCUUGUGCGCGUGGUCCUUGUGCGCGUGGCAUCGCUCUAUUCCACACUGCGGCGUGCAGGAUUUUUAGUUGGCCUUUCCUGCGGGUGUGCUUGGUGAUUCGAUCUAGGAAGAGCGCAUCGUUAGCGCAAGCCAUUCGAUUAGGGGAUUAGUUCUCUGUUCCAGUCAUUUUAGAGUAGCUCUAUCUUACUAUUGAAGAGUCAGUACGGCUCAUUUGGAUUUCACUUCCUGUAUUUUGGCAUUCCAAGAACCAUACUGCAUCAGACCGCGAAAGGAAUGAGGACGUUGCAAUAUUCAUCUCAUUUGUUUGAGACUCGCUGUCCACAAAUUUAGUUGGGAAAAAAUUGGACACGUACUUAUCUGCAGGACGUAUUGUAAAGCCCAAAAUUUACAUAGAAAAAAAUAAUAAAAUAAAUAUAUAAAGAAAUAAAAUAGUAAAUCUAGACAUCUCAAAUUAUACUUGAGGAUUGAAAAUUGAGGACAGAAUCUUAAAACCAAGAACUAUUUUAGAAGAGUAAUAGGGAUUUUUUUCUAUUCAACUAAAUGAUCAUGUAUUUCAUGAAAUGAUGCACCAUAAACAUUUAUUUACAUGAAUAUUUAAUUUUGAAGUAACUUUAAACUCUUGUCCCACAAUCAAAAUUUAUUUUCCUAAAAAAAAGAAACAAUAUGAGUGUGUCUCAUAUUUCAAACAUUUAUCAAACAAAUAAAGUAACUAGAAUAAAUAGAUAUCUACAACAUCAGAUUGGAAUGUUAGUGGGUAUUAAAUUUGAAUUAUUAAACUAUAUCUUAGACUGGAAUUGGAACUUUGUAAUGUCAAAAAGGAAAAAUAUGGGAAUACAAUAAAGAGAUGAAGAUUUGGAUUAAAACCUAAAUUUGAAUUUGGGAUUUAAGAGAGAAAUACUACAAAAGACAAAUUAAAAUUUAUAAAUAUAUAAAUUCAUCCCACACUGGAAUGUUCCAAUUGAAUAUUUAAUUUGAGUACAAAUUCACUACAAGAUUUGAAUUCAAAUUUUAGAUUCAAAAAUAAGAAAAG
rnacentral:lncRNA from 7 species